rnacentral:rRNA from 1 species
CGUAACAAGGUUUCCGUAGGUGAACCUGCGGAAGGAUCAUUACCACACCUUAAAACUAUCCACGUGAACCGUUUGUACCCAGAUUUGCGCCGAGAUUUUCGUGCGUGUUUGUUUGUAUCACUGUGUAUUCGUACGCGGUGUGUGGCAAAUAUGUAUGGAGCUUGGCUGAUCGAAGGUCGUAUCGCACUUUAUUGUGUGUGUCGGCUGACUUAUUUUUCAAACCCAUUACUUACUACUGAUUAUACUGUGAAGACGAAAGUCUUUGCUUUUACUAGAUAACAACUUUCAGCAGUGGAUGUCUAGGCUCGCACAUCGAUGAAGAACGCUGCGAACUGCGAUACGUAAUGCGAAUUGCAGAAUUCAGUGAGUCAUCGAAAUUUUGAACGCAUAUUGCACUUUCGGGUUAUACCUGGAAGUAUGUCUGUAUCAGUGUCCGUACAUCAAACUUGCCUCUCUUUAUUGGUGUAGUCCAAUAUCGAGCAGAGCAGAUCUGAGGUGUCUCGCGGCUGUUGUGUAUAGAAGGUUUGUAUGAACUUUAUAUACCAAGCUUCGAGUCCCUUUAAAACGACACGAUCUUUCUAUUUGCUUUCUACAGAGCGCAUAUUUCGAACGCGGCGGUCCUCGGAUCACUCGCAGUCGACAGCGAUUUCGGCAGAGACGUAUGGGAGAAACCUCUAUUCGCGGUACGUUAGGCUUCGGCUCGACAAUGUUGCGAUAUAGUGUGUGGCUCUCGUCUUUGUCUUGAGGUGUACUGUUGGUUGUGGGUUUGAACCUUGUGUAUUGUUUUGUUAGUAGAGUUGUGUUGUUUUUUCUGUGGUUGGAUUCCAUAUGCACGCAAGUGUUUUGUGGGUAGAGAGAUUCUAUUUGGGAAAUUUGUACUGCAUGAGCCUUCUGGCUAGUGUAUGUAUCUCAAUUGGACCUGAUAUCANACAAGACUACCCGCUGAACUUAAGCAUAUCAAUAAGCGGAGGAAAAGAAACAA